rnacentral:rRNA from 1 species
UACGAAGGGGGCUAGCGUUGCUCGGAAUCACUGGGCGUAAAGGGUGCGUAGGCGGGUCUUUUAAGUCAGGGGUGAAAUCCUGGAGCUCAACUCCAGAACUGCCUUUGAUACUGAAGAUCUUGAGUUCGGGGAGAGGUGAGUGGAACUGCGAGUGUAGAGGUGAAAUUCGUAGAUAUUCGCAAGAACACCAGUGGCGAAGGCGGCUCACUGGCCCGAUACUGACGCUGAGGCAGA